GGCGCGAGAUGGGAAGGGGGCGGUGUCCCAGAUUUCAGAUGGACGCCCGCCACCCAUUAAAGCCCACUUCAGGGGGACUGGAGGCCUAGAAGCGAUGUGCAUAACGGAUCGGCAAAGAAGGCUAAAGGUGCUAGAUGGAGGGAAAAACACCAGGAUGGGGCACGGUCUCUGUCCUAAAGGGAUUGAAGGCUCACCUUUGGAUACCACUGAAGAUGCGACAUGCAUAGGACUGCACCAAAAGAUGACACAUGUGCCCACUGCACCGCACUCUACUCAAACCUACAGAAUCAAGAGGAAGGGUCCUUGGGAAAGGGACAAGAUAGGGGCUUUGGCCAGGCUCGGACUCUCUGCGUGACCUGGGGUGAUGCUGGUGCACCCUGAAGUUUGAGAACUACUGCACUGGAGCUGCGCUACCCAUUACUAUAGCCACCAGCCCCACGUGGCAUGAACUCUUGCAGUGUGGCUAGUCCGAACUUGAGAUGUGCUGUAAGUGUAAAAUACACAUCAGAUUUCCAAGACUUAGAAAAAAAGAAUAUAAAAUAAUUCAUCAGUAAUCUUUUAUGUUGAU